ACACUGCUGGGGAGUCCCAUAAUGGGACGAAACGGCCUUCCAGUGU
rnacentral:hammerhead_ribozyme from 1 species